GGAUUUAGGUCAGUGGUAGACCACUUGCUUAACAUGCAUGAAGCCCUGGGUUCAAUCCCCAGUAGUACA
rnacentral:tRNA from 1 species